rnacentral:sRNA from 1 species
GCCGGGUACAGUGUAGCAUGCUUGUCAUCCCAGCAACUUGGGAGGCUGAGGCAGGAGGAUUGCAAGUUUGAGGCCAGCCUUGGCAAUUUAGCAAAGUCCUAAACAACUUAGUGAGAUCCUGUCUCAA